rnacentral:rRNA from 1 species
CUACGCACUCCUACGGGAGGCAGCAGUGGGGAAUAUUGCACAAUGGGCGCAAGCCUGAUGCAGCCAUGCCGCGUGUAUGAAGAAGGCCUUCGGGUUGUAAAGUACUUUCAGCAGUGAGGAAGGUGGGUAUGUUAAUAGCAUAUUCAUUUGACGUUAGCUGCAGAAGAAGCACCGGCUAACUCCGUGCCAGCAGCCGCGGUAAUACGGAGGGUGCGAGCGUUAAUCGGAAUUACUGGGCGUAAAGCGCAUGCAGGUGGUUUGUUAAGUCAGAUGUGAAAGCCCGGGGCUCAACCUCGGAAUUGCAUUUGAAACUGGCAAACUAGAGUACUGUAGAGGGGGUAGAAUUUCAGGUGUAGCGGUGAAAUGCGUAGAGAUCUGAAGGAAUACCGGUGGCGAAGGCGGCCCCCUGGACAGAUACUGACACUCAGAUGCGAAAGCGUGGGGAGCAAACAGGAUUAGAUACCCUGGGAG